rfam:Syntrophothermus lipocalidus DSM 12680, complete genome.
CGAGUAAAUCAGAUAGCCGCGAGGUUACACCUCGAGGAAAGUCGGGGCUCCGCAGGGCAAGGUGCUGGGUAACACCCAGUGGGGGCGACCCCAAGGAUAGUGCCACAGAAACAAACCGCCCGGCACUCAAUGUACGGUUCAAACGAAUUCAAGGACCUCCUCCCGUGUUGCGUUACGAUGCGCAUCUUAACAGGAUUGAACUGUGCAUUGAGUGCCGGGUAAGGGUGGAAAGGUGAGGUAAGAGCUCACCAGCAGUUAGGCGACUAACUGGCUCGGUAAACCCCACCUGGAGCAAGACCAAAUAGGGAAGCUAUGGAGUGGCCCGCUCCGCUUCCGGGUUAGGUCGCUGGAGGUGUCAGGCAACUGGCAUCCUAGAUAGAUGGCUAUCUAAUACAGAACCCCGCUUAUAGAUUUGCUCGCACC